GGAGAUGUAGCUCAAAUGGUAGAGUGGCUGGAUAAUACACAGAUUCCUGGGUUCAACUCCCAGCACCG
rnacentral:tRNA from 1 species